rnacentral:rRNA from 1 species
CGACGUGAGGAACCUGCCUCAAAGAGGGGGACAACAGUUGGAAACGACUGCUAAUACCGCAUAAGCCCACAGCUCGGCAUCGAGCAGAGGGAAAAGGAGUGAUCCGCUUUGAGAUGGCCUCGCGUCCGAUUAGCUAGUUGGUGAGGUAAUGGCCCACCAAGGCGACGAUCGGUAGCUGGUCUGAGAGGACGACCAGCCACACUGGGACUGAGACACGGCCCAG